CCCUUAAGUGGGGGAUAACAUUUGGAAACAGAUGCUAAUACCGCAUAGAUCCAAGAACCGCAUGGUUCUUGGCUGAAAGAUGGCGUAAGCUAUCGCUUUUGGAUGGACCCGCGGCGUAUUAGCUAGUUGGUGAGGUAACGGCUCACCAAGGCGAUGAUACGUAGCCGAACUGAGAGGUUGAUCGGCCACAUUGGGACUGAGACACGGCCCAAACUCCUACGGGAGGCAGCAGUAGGGAAUCUUCCACAAUGGACGCAAGUCUGAUGGAGCAACGCCGCGUGAGUGAAGAAGGCUUUCGGGUCGUAAAACUCUGUUGUUGGAGAAGAAUGGUCGGCAGAGUAACUGUUGUCGGCGUGACGGUAUCCAACCAGAAAGCCACGGCUAACUACGUGCCAGCAGCCGCGGUAAUACGUAGGUGGCAAGCGUUAUCCGGAUUUAUUGGGCGUAAAGCGAGCGCAGGCGGUUUUUUAAGUCUGAUGUGAAAGCCCUCGGCUUAACCGAGGAAGCGCAUCGGAAACUGGGAAACUUGAGUGCAGAAGAGGACAGUGGAACUCCAUGUGUAGCGGUGAAAUGCGUAGAUAUAUGGAAGAACACCAGUGGCGAAGGCGGCUGUCUGGUCUGUAACUGACGCUGAGGCUCGAAAGCAUGGGUAGCGAACAGGAUUAGAUACCCUGGUAGUCCAUGCCGUAAACGAUGAAUGCUAGGUGUUGGAGGGUUUCCGCCCUUCAGUGCCGCAGCUAACGCAUUAAGCAUUCCGCCUGGGGAGUACGACCGCAAGGUUGAAACUCAAAGGAAUUGACGGGGGCCCGCACAAGCGGUGGAGCAUGUGGUUUAAUUCGAAGCAACGCGAAGAACCUUACCAGGUCUUGACAUCUUUUGAUCACCUGAGAGAUCAGGUUUCCCCUUCGGGGGCAAAAUGACAGGUGGUGCAUGGUUGUCGUCAGCUCGUGUCGUGAGAUGUUGGGUUAAGUCCCGCAACGAGCGCAACCCUUAUGACUAGUUGCCAGCAUUUAGUUGGGCACUCUAGUAAGACUGCCGGUGACAAACCGGAGGAAGGUGGGGAUGACGUCAAAUCAUCAUGCCCCUUAUGACCUGGGCUACACACGUGCUACAAUGGAUGGUACAACGAGUUGCGAGACCGCGAGGUCAAGCUAAUCUCUUAAAGCCAUUCUCAGUUCGGACUGUAGGCUGCAACUCGCCUACACGAAGUCGGAAUCGCUAGUAAUCGCGGAUCAGCACGCCGCGGUGAAUACGUUCCCGGGCCUUGUACACACCGCCCGUCACACCAUGAGAGUUUGUAACACCCGAAGCCGGUGGCGUAACCCUUUUAGGGAGCGAGCCGUCUAAGGUGGGACAAAUGAUUAGGGUGAAGUCGUAACAAGGUAGCCGUAGGAGAACCUGCGGCUGGAUCACCUCCUUUCUAAGGAA
rnacentral:rRNA from 2 species